UAUCUGGUCCAAUCUCUUUAACAUCUGUUGUUUUGGUAACAGCUGUUAAUCCAACAAUUCUUGAUGGGACACUUUUCUUGGAUGGAACAAUAUACACACGGUUUUUUUUCAACCAACACAUUGCGCCAAUCUCUAAGUUUACUAAUUGUUUUGCUGUUUCAGGAAACCAAACAUUUACCAUCAUCGACGUAGGAGCAAACACCCC